GCCGGUUUUCAUAAUGUCAUCGCCGAAGACCGCACUGACCAAGUUAUCCAUAUUCUGUUCAUAUUCUUGAAAAUUGCUUGGACAAAUGUAACAAUUUCUUCAGAGGCUAACAUGAUCAUCACUGUCUACGUUGUUUGAGUUCCCGAGGGUCCUGGAGAGGUAGCUGUCUGUAACCGAGAAUACCAAAGAAGCUUUCUUGGCUUCACCCAGGUGACUAAGUUUUUGUACCCUAUUUGUUUUGUGCCUUUUCUUCUUCAUCAUCUCUGAUUACUCACUACAUCCACCUAUGUUCUGUCACCGGGAGGACUACAAAGACACCGUAAACAGAUGGCGCUCGAAGCUGAAGCAGAGCUCCGCCGGCGAGCAUACAUGGGGUUGUCCAUCGCGACCAAGUGAUUCGGACAGCGGUGCCCACCCGAUGCGAUGAUCCAGAAGGUGGUCAUCUUGCCAUGGGCAGCGCCCCGCACUGCCACGUGCUAGCCAGCAAGAGGGGAAUAUGGCAUCAGAAUGCCCUGGAUUGCUGCACUAGGCACCAACGGCGAGUGGAAGCACAGCAAGGAGCGGCUGCCGUAGCUUUGGACCGCACGGCGCUGGCGACAGUGAAAUGCGCCUAUCAUGGAGGAAGUGGUUACAAUAUUUGUUUGAAAGAUGCAGCGGGUACAAAAUAAGUUGCUGUUAAGCCAUAUUUCUACGUCUCAUCCCUCUCUAAUUCUGACCAAUCAAGUCCCUGUGGUUUUUCUCAUUUGAUCCUCUAUGCAGCAGCAAAGGCUUGGUCCACGUGUCUUCUGCAAGGUGACGAAAUAUGAUUUGGAGGCCGACUACUUCAGUUAUCCUUAUGAUGAUGUGAACAAAAGGAAGCUUGCCUAUAGCCAUAUUGGUAUUGGAGACAAGUAUGCAAAGACGAGGGGCAAGGAGGUGAGCAAGGGCGAUGAGGGAGGAGCAGACUCACCGGCUCGGACUCCUGGGCGAUUUUCAAUGGGGG